ensembl:lncRNA
GGGGGGGGAUGACACUCACUUGAAUAUCUUGGUGAUGCCUUCGGUGCUUUUGACCUCCCCAUCACGGCCCAGGAAACAAUCCAAGGCCUUGAGGAGCUCCUUGGGGUCAAUGGGGCCGGAGCCCAUGGCAGGAAAAUCUGGAGAGAGGGGGGUGGGGAGGAGGGUGAAAGAAAAUAGAAGUUGUUUUUAGGUUGAAAAAGCCUUAAAAGGGUUGAAAAAAUGCAACGUAAGCAGUCAGAGUGGCUCUAAAAGGUGGCACAGCCACGGAUCCACCAAUGGAAUCCGAGCCCAAAUUCUAUUCCUGGGGGGGGAGCAUUGUUACACACAGCCCCCCCCCCCCCCCCCCCCCCCCCCCAAACCCUCCCCCCAGCUCCAUGUUUAAUUUUUUCUAUCCAAGAAAGACCCAAAGUUGUAGGUUUUAGACCCCAAAAAAGCCUCCCAACGGUGUCUGUAUGAAUACGGAUUUGAGAUCGAAAUAAAUCUCAUUUCUGAUGCUAAAAGAACCCAAAAUCUCAACUUUUCUGCCCUGAAAUGGUUUCAAUGUAAGCACAGAUUCCACCCCCACACACAAAAAAUGGCCAUUUGCUCCCAAAAGACCCCAAAAUCCCAUUUUUUCUCCCCCCAAAAAUCCCUACUCCUCAAUAACAGGCGGUUAUAAGCAAAGAUUCGAAGCUUUCAGACCUAAAAUUCUCAUUGUUGGCCCUAAAAUCCCCCUUUCCUGCCCCAAAAUCCCUAUUCUGGGCCUGAAAUUCCACUUUCCUGCCCUAAAAUCUCCAUUUUCUGCCCCCAAAAUCCCCAUUCCUGGCCCCAAAAUCCCCUUUUUUCACCCCAAAACAACGGGUCUGUUGACGGCGAGCGGCGGGUAAUUAACGGCGGGUAAUUAACGACGCAAUUAACAGCACUCAGCCCCAAUCUGGGGUCAUUUUGCCUCAAUUUGGGGUCAUUUCAACCCCAAUUUGGGGCCAUUUCAGCCCAAAAUCAGAGCUCAGCUCCAAUUUGGGAUCAUUUUAUCCCAAUUUUUCAUUAUUCUACCCCAAUUUGGGCUCAUUUUGCCCCAAAAUCAGAGCUCAGCUCCAAUUUGGGAUCAUUUUAUCCCAAUUUUUCAUUAUUUUACCCCAAUUUGGGGCCAUUUCACCCCAAAAUCAGAGCUCUGUCCCAAUUUAGGAUCAUUUUACCCCAAUUUUUGGUCAUUUUACCCCAAUUUUUGGCUCAUUUUGCCCCAAUUCGGGACCGUUUCACCCCCAUUUCACCCUUUACAGCAUCACAGAAAGCACCCAGGCUCUAAUUAACCCACCCAAUUAACGCUCAUUAACAACAACCACCUCCCAACAGAGGCAUUUCCUGGGGUGGGGGGGCCUUAAUUAGCGUACCCUAAUUAAAGGCAGAGCAUUAACGACCCCACCCUGACCUCAAUGCACACACACACAGCAUCCAAGCCAGUCUUAAUCAGCACUAAUUACUCACUGCCGCCUCGUUAGCGCUAACGAAGUUGACAAAUGAUGGCUUGGAAAGGGGGGAGGAGGAGGGAGACCCCCCCCCCUCCAAAAAACACCAAAUUUUAGGAGAUUUCCGACCUCCCAAAAUACAACUUUUUCUCCUCAAAACCUUAACGAGCCGCUUAACGAGCUAAUUAACCCUCGUGGUUAAUUAAGAAAGGAUACAGAUUCCUCCGCCGGCCCUUCUGCAAAGACAACACAGCCAGUUAAUGAGCACAAAGCCUUAUAAAUGGGGGGGGGGGGGCUGAAAAGCCCCCAAAAUUGAGGUUUUUCACCCCAAAAAAGGGGGUUUUUUUGACCCUAUGGGUUUAAAGGGGGGGAAGUUGGGCCCCCCCUCAAUUUUUGGUGCCCCCCCCUCAAAAAAUGGGGCAGAAAACUCAAAAUUGAGGGUUAUUUUUUUGGGGGGGAGGGGUUCUAUAUGGAAAAUGCCCUAAAAUGGGAAAAUUUGGGUUUUUUUCCCCUGUUUUGAUGAGCGGAGUCAACACUGACCCCAUUUAUAUGGGGGGGGGAAUAGAGGACAAAGACCCCCCCAAAUAAAAGCCCUAUUUAA